rnacentral:lncRNA from 1 species
GUAUUGAACGUUGCUUUAAAGAGACAUAAUCUAAUGUAUAAGUGAACUGAAAAUACAAACACUCAUUUAGUCCAUGAUGAAUGAGCUGAAAUACCUUAAGAGUCUAAUAUACUAUGUUCCUCGGCCAGAGGGGAUGUACGGACGUAGGCCCAAAACCUCUUAGUUAUUGAAAAACAAAAAAAAAAAACUCGUAAACUUAAUUUUUGAUUUCUACGUGAAUUUAAUUUUUCAGGUGGAUAGAUAAAGCAAUGUUGAACAAAAACAUCUCAGAAACAGAAGUUGAGGAAACAAGAACGUUUUUGGGUCUUUUACCAAUCUUUGGUAGCACAAUUGUCAUGAGCUGUUGCGUGGCACAACUAUCUACCUUCUCUGCACAACAAGGAAUGCUCAUGAACAAGAAACUCUUUCACUCUUUCGAGAUCCCCGUACCUUCCCUCAACGCCAUUCCUCUCAUCUUCAUGCUCUUUUCUAUACCUUUAUACGAAUUCUUUGGAAAAAGGAUCUCAUUAGGCAGCAACAAUAGAUCAUCUAGUUUCAAUUUGAAACGCAUUGGACUCGGCCUAGCUCUCUCCUCUGUUUCGAUGGCGGUUGCUGCCAUCGUUGAGGCCAAGAGGAAACAUGAAGUGGUUCAUAACAACUUCAGAAUCUCUGUUUUGUGGCUAGUGUUUCAGUAUCUGAUGCUAAGUGUCUCUGAUAUGUUGACUUUAGGAGGGAUGCUAGAGUUCUUCUAUAGAGAAGCUCCGUCGAACAUGAAGAGCAUAAGCACGGCUUUGGGAUGGUGUUCAACCGCAUUCGGUUUCUUCGUUAGCACAACUCUUGUGGAGGUCACAAAUGCCGUCACCGGAAGGCUUGGCCAUCAAUGGCUUGGUGGGGAAGAUCUCAACAAGGCAAGGCUUGAACUUUUUUAUGUGCUCUUGUGUGUUCUUAAUACUCUUAAUCUUCUUAACUAUAUUUUUUGGGCAAAGAGAUAUUAAGUGAAAGAACAAAGUAUAUGUAUAUUGUGUUUUUGUAAAAUUGAGGCACUUUAUGCUUCUAGUGUUCAAUCUGAAGAUAAUGUAAAAAGUAAGUCCAGAUACACUCAUGUUAGGUGUGUAGUAUAUCACUUUGUUAAAGUGUAUCUACAAGGGANNNNNNNNNNNNNNNNNNNNNNNNNNNNNNNNNNNNNNNNNNNNNNNNNNNNNNNNNNNNNNNNNNNNNNNNNNNNNNNNNNNNNNNNNNNNNNNNNNNNGAUAGCUACACGAUCUUGUCCUUUGUUAAUAUACUUAAAUAAGUAUUUGAUAGAACCGGAUUGGUUACACCACUCAACGUUGAUGUGAGCUCAUUAAUAUAUCAGUAGAUUAUGAACCAUACCUUGCAACCACAUUGCACACAGGUGAUCGGCAAGAGUCACACCAGAAUUGUGGCUUGAGAGUAGUUGUGACAACCUUAGACACUUUCUUAUUGCAUUUCCUACAGGCAAUAUAAUACCACGACCAAUCUCUGUCAAUAUCAUAUAUUGUACAGAGCACCUUAACCCUCCCAGUCUGAAAAUAGGAACAUUUAAAAGUUGGUUAGAAUGCACCAUGCAAUCAAAUUAGAAUGUAAAAGAAAAAAAGAACUAUUACAUCAAACAUCUCAGCGACUUCUUUGAUGGUCUUCUUAGGAAACUGAAGAUAGAAAUCCCCUGUAGGCAGCUCGAUCAUUUCCUGCUUUGGUUUAGACUCAAGAAGAGUAAGAGCAAGCCCAUCUUUUGGUAAACUUUCUUUGAAGGCAACAAUCUCAGGGAUGUCUGGAUUGAUCAAGAUCUGAGAUGUAUUGAAAGCAUUGGAGAUACUCCUUACAUCUAGAAAGCAAAACAUAAAGAAAGUGUCAUCAGCUAAAUUUUUAAAAGAUUUAAAAAAACUAUAAGUAUGAUAUUAAUACCAAAACUAAAUACCUUUGUAAGUCUUGAUCUUAGCAUAUCUCACCAAACAUAUGACCAUCUCACCAGCAGAAGCUUCACAGGCAGUGAAAACUUGUUCUGCAAAUGAACCCCAUAGAGUACAGGGUAGCCUGUCAUCCCUAAAUAUGGUAAUAGCAAUAUUAGAUUCACAAAUAAGACUCUUUAAUUUUAAUGCAGCCAGAACUAAUGAAUGAAACUUACGUAUGAUCCCUCAGUUCAAAAUCAAUCUUCUUAGUAGGUUUAUUUUGCACUUCGAUAGUCUCCAUUUCACCAACAUUCACGAUUUGACCGACAACAUCUUGAACCAAAAGAGAAUAACAAAACGUCAUUAUAUAUUGCAUAAAGGAUUAGAUGAAAAUGAAAAUAUAGCUCAUAUGAAAAUGUACCAAUCAAGUAGUUCUGGUUGAGACCAGCAGUUAAAACAUCAUUGAAAGGAGUCAAUGACAGGUAAUAAGAAUCAGACAAUGGGUCCAUCCUCACAACUCUUGUUUGGGCCAUGAAGCCCAUUUUGUAACGAUGAUCAGUUGCUUUGAACUGACCAGUUGCAUAAGUCAAUCCAAAGUUUUCAAUAGCCUUCCACUCUCCUGGAACCAUGAGCUUCUCAAAGCGGUUGAGAUGCUCUCUCUUCACAGACGCAUGGAUCUUCUUGCCCUACCAUAGAAAUAGAAAUAUAUUAGUAUAUCAUUAGACAACUUAUUUUAAUAUAUUGAACUAAUAUAGACAUGACAAAGAAUUCUUACUUUGACAUCAGACAGAACCAUGUCGAAAGUCUCACCAAACUUUGUGGUAAAUGUCUUCCAGGUAUGAAGGACACGGACCUGAACUCUCCAAGUGGUUUUGUAUGGUUUGAUGUCAUCGAGGUAAGCAAUUGCUUGAGCCAUUUGUGAUAUCUAAAUAAGAAGGAUGCUAAGGUUAGAGGAAUUUGAGUGAUGGAUUGGAAAUGAGAAUGACGUUGAUAUUUAUAGCAUUCUAGGAUGCUAGGGUUUUUGGCUCCAAUAAUUUUAAAAUCUAGGAGAAUAUCUUGGAGACAAAGCAUAAAAUCAAAGAUACUAUUAGCAAAAUAUAUUCGAAUUUGGAAUAGAAUUGAAUGAUUGGCUAUAUUUAGAUAAAUGAUGAAUAUUGUAGAGUUGGUUAUGGUUAGGAUUAUAUUUAAGAGAGAUAGUAAUUACGAUUUUUUUGGGAUUAGGCAAUAUAUGAUCAAAUUUGCAGUUAUUAUGAGAGAUAAUUACAUCGAAUUUGCAAUUAUUAUGAUCGAAUAAGCUCAUAUUUAGAUACCAAAAAUGAACUAAAUUUACAAAAUAAUUUGAAUGGCUUAGAUUGACUUAUGUGGAUGCUAAACCCGAUUAAGAACUUGACUAUGUGAUUAAGAGUUAAUUACUCCUAACCCACCCGAGUAUUAACACGCGGAUCUCAUAAAGUUUAAUGAAACUUUAUGACCAAAUUGCCCUUGUCGAUUUUGAUUAACAAAGAACAAAAUCCAAAAUUGAAAUUGAAAUUGAUGCUAAAUUUGACCAUUUUUCAAUUUGUACUUCCCUUUUAAUAAUAAGGGGAUAGAUUUGCAAAUUAUAAAUCGGUACUAAAAUUUAUCGUAAUAGUGAAUCCAACGCUUCUUCGAAAGAUUGUAGCUCAAGUCACUGUCUUCCACCUCUCGAAACAGGGGAAAAUAUAACAACUUUCAAUACCUUCCACUGGCGACUAUCUUGGUUUAUGGAUCGUGAGUUUAGAAAUACUAUCUCUUUUGGCAGGCACAAAAAGAAGUGGAAAACUAUUAUGUUAUUUUUGAUCACAUUGCAUCAAAGAAUUCGAGACUGAUAAAAAAAUUGUAAUCUUGUUUUAGUUUUCUUGCCAAUAUUAUUUUUGUUUCUAAUGCGUUCAUGUAAUACCUUAUAUUCAUUUUAUAUGAUAUUUACGUUUUAGCGCAAAAAAGAAGAAGCAUAAAUUGUAAAAAGAAUAAUUGAAACCAGUUUUAUAAUUAUCUAAAUUUUCUUAUUCGGAAGUCUUUGCAUAUGAUAGGGUACGGUAUAUAUAAACAAAAAGUCUUUGCUCAACCAAGGUUUUUUAUUUUCCUCAACCACACAUUAAUUAAAAAUUCAAUCUGUGAUUGGUAGCCCAAUUUGGAAGAAACAAGUUUUAUCCUAUAUAAUUUACGAUAUAUUGUGCUUACAUAGUAAAAUAUAUGGUCAUUAUUUACAUUAUGAAUUCAAGAUAUCUUAAAUUUUAUAUAUAUACUUUUGUAAAACCUCUCUAAAUGUAAAAAUCAUGAUAAGUGUUUUAAUCUAAAUUUAUAUUUUUUUUUAUAUUAUAAAAUAAUCAUUUGCUCUUAUGGAUUAUUUCCAUAUUUAUAAGUUUAUAACAAGUUAAUUAAUAAUAUAUCUAUAUAUUUCACCUUUCAUUAAAAGAAGGUCUAAAUUGGCCAGCAUCAGCAUGUUUGACAAAUGUCACAUGUCACUAUGUCAGAUUAAUAUUGAUAUUAGCUACAUAUAAAUACUUGUUCACUCCUAUAUAAUGUGUUAGAAUUCUCGUGUUCAUAAGAUACAUCGAAAGCACAUAUACACAUAGUCUUUAGCAAUUGAUAUAACAAAGCUAUGGAGAAUGAGAUGGAGGAUAAGUUUGAAAAUUGGAAAGGUAAAGAGGCAAUCUCUGGCAAACAUGGUGGGAUCAGAGCUGCAUCUAUUGUUUGUGGUAAAUAUUUAAAACUCAAAACUUCGUAUUUUUAUAUUUUGUUUUAUAAUUUUUAAUGUCAUAAUAUAUUUGGUGUGGUAAAUGUAGUUGUGGUGAUGAUGGAGAACAUAGUGUUCAUAGCUAAUGGAUUCAAUUUCGUGAAAUACUUCAUGGGAUCGAUGCAUUAUUCACCAGCCACAGCAGCAAACAUGGUCACUAAUUUCAUGGGAACAUCGUUUUUACUCACUCUUUUUGGUGGUUUUAUCGCUGACUCUUUCCUCACUCAUUUCACAACUUUCAUCAUCUUCUGUUGCAUUGAACUCAUGGUAAUUAAAAACUUUAUAAAAUGUUAUCUACCAUUUAGAUAAUGCAUUUUAAUGAUGAAAUGGAUAAUCACAUUAACUUGAAGGUUGUAUCAUUUGAUAGGGAUUGAUCUUGUUGACGUUCCAAGCUCAUAACCCUAAGCUACUGCCCGAGAAAGGUAAAACACCUUCAACUCUUCAAUCAACGAUUCUUUUCACAGGACUCUAUGCGAUGGCUACUGGUACGGGCGGUAUAAAGGCCUCGUUGCCCACUCACGGAGGCGAUCAAAUUGAUAGAAGAAAUCCAAGACUGAUCUCAAGAUUCUUUGAUUGGUUAUACUUCUCUAUAUGCUUUGGAUGCCUCUUGGCCGUAACCGUUGUGUUGUUGAUCGAGGAAAAGAAAGGGUGGAAGUGGAGCUUCAAUAUAUCGGUUGGGAUUCUAGCGACUGCGCUUUGUAUUUUUACGGUAGGGCUACCGUUUUAUCGGUUCAAGCGUCCUAAUGGAAGUCCGUUGAAAAAGAUUGCAAUUGUGAUUAUUUCUGCCGCAAGAAACCGAAAUAGAUCUGAUUUGGAUGAAGAGAUGAUGCGAAGUCUUAUCCCUUUUGACAAGAACAUUGGUCACAACAAGUUAAAGUAAGUAUUGAACGUUGCUUUAAAGAGACAUAAUCUAAUGUAUAAGUGAACUGAAAAUACAAACACUCAUUUAGUCCAUGAUGAAUGAGCUGAAAUACCUUAAGAGUCUAAUAUACUAUGUUCCUCGGCCAGAGGGGAUGUACGGACGUAGGCCCAAAACCUCUUAGUUAUUGAAAAACAAAAAAAAAAAACUCGUAAACUUAAUUUUUGAUUUCUACGUGAAUUUAAUUUUUCAGGUGGAUAGAUAAAGCAAUGUUGAACAAAAACAUCUCAGAAACAGAAGUUGAGGAAACAAGAACGUUUUUGGGUCUUUUACCAAUCUUUGGUAGCACAAUUGUCAUGAGCUGUUGCGUGGCACAACUAUCUACCUUCUCUGCACAACAAGGAAUGCUCAUGAACAAGAAACUCUUUCACUCUUUCGAGAUCCCCGUACCUUCCCUCAACGCCAUUCCUCUCAUCUUCAUGCUCUUUUCUAUACCUUUAUACGAAUUCUUUGGAAAAAGGAUCUCAUUAGGCAGCAACAAUAGAUCAUCUAGUUUCAAUUUGAAACGCAUUGGACUCGGCCUAGCUCUCUCC